CCUGGCCAAUGCAACAAGACAGGAAAAAGAAAUCAGCCUUUGAGGAGCAAUAUCAAGGAAGGCAAAGUUAUAUUACCGUGUCUUUCAUGGUAACAUGGUUGCUUAAUGUUGAAUUUCCCAAAUAACCAACAGUUAACUAUUAGCACUAAUCAGAGGUCAACAAGGGGGCCCAAUACAAAGAAGUCAAUAGCGUUCUUUAAAGCCAGUAAAAAAAAAAAAAUAAAUAACAGGGAAGAGCUCAUUUUCCAAAAGAACAAAAAUUAUAAAAUAUUCAAGAAUUAAUCUUGAAAUCCACCUAUCUUUUAUGGGGGAAAAAAAGCAAAAACAAAAACGAAAAACUAAGCAACCUGAAAUCUCUUUCCAGGCCAUGACAGAAGACUGGGCUAGAGAGUGCCAUUCAGCCCUGUGUGGAGGGGCCUGGCGAGAGGUGCCCACCAUUGCCCUGGCCGUGCUUGCCAGGUUCCAGUGCCCACAUUCCUGCAGCUUUGGAGGCCUAGGGGAGGCUCUGGGCCGUGGCAGGUGUCAUGGCCCCUCUAGGCCUGCCUUGCACCCCAGCUGGCCCAGUGCUGCAUUGAGCUGCCCUGGCCCCCUCUGCCCUCCCCAUAAGCAAUGCUGGGACCUGGCCUUCCCGUGGCAGCCCCUCCCCUGCUGGGCUACGUGGUUCAGGGACAGGACGCCCUGGCCCCUCGGCCCUACAGCUCAGUCACAGGUCAGUGGGCCGUGCUGGUGCUCUCUGUUCAGACCUCCAGGGCCUGAGCUCCUGAGAUGCCGGGUGCUGACCAGGCCUGUCAGGGAUCUUCCCAGCCACUGGGCCAGGAUGCCAGGGCGUGCUGGAGCCUGCCCGUCUAAUGCCUGGCUCAACCAAGCUGCUUCAGGUACUGGGGAGCGAUGGUGUGUGUGCUUCAGAGCAGAGGAGGGGGCAUGUCAGAUGUGUGUUUGAGAUGCUCUCUUGGCAGCCAGGAUGGAGACAAGAAAAGGGUGAAUUUGAGAGUUGAGGAUUUAUCAAACUUCCGGCAGUUAAGUCCCUGGGAAACAGCACCAAAAGAGAGAUAAUAAAGGAACCAAAAGAAGAAACCACACAGGAGCAGAUGGAGGCACCAACUGCAUAAAGAAUGGUGACUGCACGCAGGCAAGAUGCACACAGCAGGUGGGAAACUUCUGUAACAAGUAUGUCCACAGGCAGAUCACCUUUACCUGUGAGGAGC